CGCCUUGCCAGCCCGCUCAGAACUCAAAGGAAUUGACGGGGGCCCGCACAAGCGGUGGAGCAUGUGGUUUAAUUCGAUGAUACGCGAGGAACCUUACCUGGGCUCAAAUGUAUGUUGACGUAUUCUGAAAGGGAUACUUCUUCGGACAAUAUACAAGGUGCUGCAUGGUUGUCGUCAGCUCGUGCCGUGAGGUGUCGGGUUAAGUCCCAUAACGAGCGCAACCCCUAUCAUUAGUUGCCAUCAGGUCAAGCUGGGGACUCUAAUGAAACUGCCUACGCAAGUAGUGAGGAAGGUGGGGAUGACGUCAAAUCAGCACGGCCCUUACGGCCUGGGCUACACACGUGUUACAAUGGUCGGUACAAAGGGUUGCCAAGCCGCGAGGUGGAGCUAAUCCCAUAAAACCGAUCGUAGUCCGGAUCGCAGUCUGCAACUCGACUGCGUGAAGUCGGAAUCGCUAGUAAUCGUGAAUCAGAAUGUCACGGUGAAUACGUUCCCGGGCCUU
rnacentral:rRNA from 1 species